UCGGUCCUACGGGGCGCAGCAGUGGGGAAUAUUGCACAAUGGGGGAAACCCUGAUGCAGCAACGCCGCGUGAGUGAAGAAGUAUUUCGGUAUGUAAAGCUCUAUCAGCAGGGAAGAAGAAAGACGGUACCUGACUAAGAAGCCCCGGCUAACUACGUGCCAGCAGCCGCGGUAAUACGUAGGGGGCAAGCGUUAUCCGGAUUUACUGGGUGUAAAGGGAGAGUAGACGGCUGUGCAAGUCUGAAGUGAAAGCCCGUGGCUCAACCGAGGAAGUGCUUUGGAAACUGUAUAGCUUGAGUAUUGGAG
rnacentral:rRNA from 1 species